UAUAAAUAAGAUAUAAUUAAAAAUAUAAUAUACUAAGAACGGUCUAAAUACUUUGUGUGGUAUCGAGGUGCACAAGUUUGCCGUCAGAGAGCGGGCGAUCGUGCAUUAAAGUCCGAAUGGUGGGGGACAUUCAAUAGAUAUGCUAUAAUCUCUCAUUCUACCUAUUGUUCUUCAACAGUUUUCAACCGAGGACAACGUCUACAAAGUACAAGAUGGACCCGAUGCAUCUUGCGCGUGCUCUCAACGAAAUAAACGUU